GGCAACAUAGUUUAAUCUUUUAGUCUCUCAGAUACAAAAUACUACUAAAUCCACAAUGUUGGUCUUUAUAACUGCAGCGAAACAGCGGGUAAACUUUUAAAACGUAUAUAAUUGGGGUACAACAACACAACUGGUGUCAACACUUGGAUCCAAAGGGUGUGGGUUCGUUUUGCCGAACGAAAGUGGGUUGUCGAAACAGAAAAAUGGUUUAUGUCGGUUCCCCCCAUGCGUAGCACCACAAGGGUAGCACCGAGUGCCGAUGGUGCGAGAAACUACAUCAUGGGCUAAAGGAUCAUGUUGCCCCGGAAAAUUUUGAAAUUUACAGCUUUGAAACGACAUUUAAGUUAUUAAUGCACGUUGUGCCAUGAUUCUAUACAAUUUUGAUGGCUAGAAAACGACGUGUAAACCACAUGAAAUUGGAUGACGACUUGUAUUACUUGGUAUGCUUUAAUCAAAGAUAGGGUACAGUCCGGUCAGCGCAUGCGCACAUAGGAAUCUCCUGCCGUGAUAUAAACACUUUAAUUAGGCUUUUAUUUCAUUUUAUGUUCUGGCAAAGCCCGAUUGUUGUAUCUUGAUCAUUUAUUAUACUGUAUAGAUGCAUGAAAAUAUAACUAGUUGUCGAAUAAAGUUCAAUAUUUUUGAAUACCGAAAUGUAAACAAACGCUUUGUACCCUUUGACUGUACCCUACCUUUAAGUCAUUUCAACACCACAGAUUUAGGCAGCGAGGAACGAAAACUCUUAAGUUUGGAACGUGAUCUGAAUCAAGUACAC